rnacentral:sRNA from 1 species
CCGUCUCGAUCUGUUGGGGACAUAUAAAAUGAAUAUGCGCAUCUAUGCCGCCAGCCGUAAUGAUCUUUCCUUCGCCAGCAAUAACCUCGGUACUUGCGCCUGCUAUCAUGCCGGGCGUAACUCCGUCCAUAAUGUCCGGGUUGCCUGCUUUGCCAAUCCCGACAAUAAAGCCGUCUUUAAUCCCUAUAUCGGCCUUAACAAUUCCCCAAUGGUCAAUAAUAACGGCGUUCGUAAUAAGAGUAUCAAGCACCCCUUCACCCCGAAGAGCGCCGCUUGAUUGCCCCAUGCCGUCACGG